GAACAUAGGCUAAACGCGCCGCGUCCUGCGGCAGCGCCUAUGUAACCGACAUCCUGUC
rnacentral:sRNA from 1 species